rnacentral:rRNA from 1 species
GCAAGUCGAGCGUGAAAGCCUUCGGGUGAGUAGAGCGGCGGACGGGUGAGUAACGCGUGGGAAUCUACCGAGUAGUGGGGGACAACAGUCGGAAACGACUGCUAAUACCGCAUACGUCCUAAGGGAGAAAGUGGGGGAUCCAUUUAUGGACCUCACGCUAUUUGAUGAGCCCGCGUAAGAUUAGCUUGUUGGUGAGGUAAAGGCUCACCAAGGCGACGAUCAGUAGCUGGUCUGAGAGGACGAUC